rnacentral:rRNA from 1 species
CCUACGGGUGGCAGCAGUGAGGAAUAUUGGUCAAUGGGCGGAAGCCUGAACCAGCCAAGUAGCGUGCAGGAUGACGGCCCUACGGGUUGUAAACUGCUUUUAUACGGGAAUAACGCGCCUUACGUGUAGGCCUUUGCAUGUACCGUAUGAAUAAGGACCGGCUAAUUCCGUGCCAGCAGCCGCGGUAAUACGGAAGGUCCGGGCGUUAUCCGGAUUUAUUGGGUUUAAAGGGAGCGUAGGCCGCAUGUCAAGCGUGCUGUGAAAUGUCCGGGCUCAACCCGGGCCUUGCAGCGCGAACUGGCGUGCUUGAGUCGGCGGAAAGCAGGCGGAAUGCGGCGUGUAGCGGUGAAAUGCUUAGAUAUGGCGAAGAACCCCGAUUGCGAAGGCAGCUUGCUGCAGCGGAACUGACGCUGAUGCUCGAAAGCGCGGGUAUCGAACAGGAUUAGAUACCCGAGUAGUC